UAGGGAAUCUUCGGCAAUGGGGGGAACCCUGACCGAGCAACGCCGCGUGAGUGAAGAAGGUUUUCGGAUCGUAAAGCUCUGUUGUUAAGGAAGAACGAGUGUGAGAAUGGAAAGUUCAUGCUGUGACGGUACCUAACCAGAAAGCCACGGCUAACUACGUGCCAGCAGCCGCGGUAAUACGUAGGUGGCAAGCGUUGUCCGGAAUUAUUGGGCGUAAAGCGCGCGCAGGUGGUUUAGAAAGUCUGAUGUGAAAGCCCACGGCUCAACCGUGGAGGGUCAUUGGAAACUAAUAAACUUGAGUGCAGGAGAGAAAAGUGGAAUUCCUAGUGUAGCGAUGAAAUGCGUAGAGAUUAGGAGGAACACCGGUGGCGAAAGCGGCUUUUUGGCCUGCAACUGACACUGAGGCGCGAAAGCGUGGGGAGCAAACAGG
rnacentral:rRNA from 1 species